rnacentral:rRNA from 1 species
GUAGUCUCGCACAGAUGCAUAUCAAUAAGCGGAGGAAAAGAAACUAACAAGGAUUCCCUUAGUAACGGCGAGUGAAGCGGGAAGAGCUCAAAUUUGAAAUCUUCAAGGUUUUACCUUGACGAAUUGUAGUUUAAAGAAGUGUUUUCUGUUGAAGUUUUGGUAAAAGUUCUUUGGAAUAGGACAUCAUAGAGGGUGAGAAUCCCGUAUUUGACCAUUAUUUUCAGCUGUGUGAUACACUUUCAAAGAGUCGGAUUGUUAGGGAAUGCAGUCCAAAAUGGGUGGUAAAUUUCAUCUAAAGCUAAAUAUUGGCGAGAGACCGAUAGCGAACAAGUACCGUGAGGGAAAGAUGAAAAGAACUUUGAAAAGAGAGUUAAACAGUACGUGAAAUUGUCAAAAGGGAAGCGUUUGACACCAGUGUUGUUUUCUCGAAAAUCAAUUAAAAAGAGUUAGAUUUUGUUGUGUAUUGACCUUAACAGCUUGCAUUUCAAUUUUCUUGCUUUUUUUAAUGCACUUUUCGUUUAACAAGUCAACAUCAGUUUCUUUUGUUGUAAAAAGGUCAUUGGAAGGUGGCUUUCUUUUCGGAGAAAGUGUUUAUAGCCUUUGACUCCUGCAAUCGGAGAGACUGAGGUCUGCAGCGUAGAUCCUUCGGGGUUAGAUACAUUUGUGCUAAGUUAUAGCUUUUUAUAGACAACUUGUUGACUAUGAUUAGUCUUGUAGCUUACUCGCUUAUGCUAUUUUACCUACGCUUAGGAUGUUGAAGAUGUAGCACAUCAU